UACGUAGGGGGCAAGCGUUGUCCGGAUUUAUUGGGCGUAAAGAGCGUGUAGGCGGUCAGGUAGGUCCGUUGUGAAAACUCGAGGCUCAACCUCGAGACGCCGAUGGAAACCAUCUGACUAGAGUCCGGAAGAGGAGAGUGGAAUUCCUGGUGUAGCGGUGAAAUGCGCAGAUAUCAGGAGGAACACCGGCGGCGAAGGCGGGUCGCUGGCGGCGAACUGACGCAUGGAGGAGCGAAAGCGUGGGAGCAAACAGG
rnacentral:rRNA from 1 species